rnacentral:lncRNA from 1 species
GCAUCCGCAGACGCCUUUAUACGUACUCCAAAAUGCUAGUAAGGAUGAAGAUGAACUCUCCUCAGCCCGUGUCUUUUAACUGUAGAAACUUUUCUGAGAAAUGAAAAGAGGCUUGCUCAUGACUUGGAAGCGGUGGGCUGAGGCCUCCCAAGACCAUCUGGCUUGUUCCAUUGCCAGCCAGAGUGGAGGCGACAUUCACACGAACCCAGGAGCUGCAGGGGCGCGUGAGCUACAGCUGCCUUGUGGCAUCCAAGGAGUGCGCAGUGAGAUUCCGCAGGAGAAAUCACGCUUUGCAUGUUCUUGAGUACAAGAAACAUGUGUAAUGAGGGUUUUUGUUUGCGGGCAUGCCAAGGAGAACGACUGGAAUAUUAAAGUCAUCACAGCCUUUAUUUAAGGGAGAAGAGGACAAGCAUGAAUAUGCUGAUAGUUCAGAGAUAUUUAGGACCUUCAGCAGCUCAGCACUCAUCCUAGAUUUAUACAAAUACCUUUCCAGAGAUGAAGUUUUUAAAAGCCUUUUAAAGGAAUUUUAUUUGUUCUUUUCACGUGGGGAAAAGUGAUGAGUAUAUCUAUGCAAGUAUGAGAAAUGGCCAAGGCCACUCCAUGUAAUUUUUUACUUAUCCUAUAGCUACACAAAGAAAAUAGCACCAAGUGUUGUAGAGGAAAAUCUACUAGACUUCAAGCCCGGCUUGAAUUCAAUUCUGUGCUCUAAUUCAGACUCUAUCUUUACUUAGCUGAGUCAUAUAAAUUAUUUAAUUUUCUAGACUUCUCACUUCUCUUUCUUUCUUUUUUUUUUAGACUAGUCUCACUCUGUUGCCCAGGCUGGAGUGCAGUGGCGCGAUCUCAGCUUACUUCAGCCUCCGCCUCCCGGUUUCAAGUGAAUUCUCCAGCCUCAACUUCACAAGUAGCUGGGAUUACAGGGCAUUCAAGCAGCCCUGAGGAGAGGUCCACAUGGUGAGCCACUGAGGGCCUUGCCAAGAGCCAGCACCAACGGUCCAGGUUUGGAGUGUACCACCUUGGAAGUGAAUCUUCCAGUCCAGUCAAGCCUUCAGAUGACUUCAGAACCGUCCAUGUAAGCCACUCUUGGAUUCCUGACCCACAGAAACUGUUGGAGCUGCCAAUUUGCAGGAAAUAGAGGAGAGAAGCAUCUGUUGAACUGCACCAUGAGUAUACACUCAGCAAAGGCCAAACUGUGGAAAAUGAUACAGGUCAAACAGCCUGGAUUCUUUAACAGUAAGUGAUGUUUCUGAAGCACCAAUGAAAAUGAAGUCCUGAAGUCCUGUGCUCAAUAUGAAAUGUUGGAAGUUAGAAGAAAAAAACAAAACUUGGAUCCAAUCUCAAGGCACUUUUUGUUUAAUGGGAAGAAGUGGAUUAUUUUAAAAGCUACAAAUAAAGUUACAUAAAAGUAGCAAA